CAGAAAAUGAAGAUUGUGGAGUACAAAAGGGGAAGAAUAGUGCUUGAUAAUUGCAUGGAAAUGUAAAUGCUUUGUUACAUGGAGGCAGCAAAUGGCAGAAAUUUAGAGAGACUGACUGCGGUAUUUUGAGCUUUUUGCAAUGCUCCCAGAGAAUUUGUAUUUCAGAUUCCCCCCAUUGUAUGUGCUGCACUUCAGUAACUCAGUUCUAUCAGAACAACAAAAGGAGCAGCCUCAGCUUCAGAGAUUUUACAGUGGUGUGAAGGCUGCAGUGCAUUAAAAACCUGUAGGAAGAACAAUGUGAAUGGAAGGAUUAAGAUAAAGAAGAAGAGCAGUUUGGACUAUGAAAGGCAGAAUAAAUGUCUGAACAAACGAGGAGACUUGUAGGAGGAACCACUGGAAUAUUCACUGCAAGCACUUGAGAGGGAGAGUUCACUGCUACUGCAGCUGCUCCGAGGAUACAGGCGGCUAGAGCCUGUCAUAUUUAAUUGACUCUGGCAUUUCAAGACAGUGUUUCAAUUCAGAGAUCAGCUUUAUGGCUCUUCCCUGACACCAGACUUCAGAGGAGAAAAGGAGGUUCCAGAUGAGGGGAGCAAGGGCAGCACAAACACUCACGAGCAUCUGAGCAUCAGCACUUCGAGCUUGCACCAGGCUUCGGCUCCGUUCUACUUCUGAAAGCAAAUCCCCAGAUGAGAGGUCCAAGAUGCGUGAAUGGAGUUUCUGGGGGGGCAGAAGGGAAGGAGCAAAGCAUGAGCAUUUGUCAGAUAUUCAGCGGAUCAGCAUUUUCAAAAUUCCAAACUCUGCUGUUAAAUUUCAAGGGAAAUGAAGAGCCUGAGGUAAAAGAGGAUUUGUUCUAAUUUGAAAUGUUGUUCUUUGUGCUUACUUUGUCCAAGACUUCCUGUCUGGAGGACAGAUCAUCCUUCAUCCAAAACAAACUCUACUUUUUCUUCUAGUCACUGCUUUGCAACUUAUCAUUACUUCACACUCAACAAUAACAAAUGAACACAAGUCCCACCAUUAUCCACAGAGUUUGACAGGUUUCAGGAAAAAAAGCAUAAAAAUGAACUAAAAAAUUAACAUUUAUAAAUCAAUCAACAUGUUAAUGUUGUUUUAUUUACGAGCUGUUAUACCUUGCAUGAAUGAUUGCAAAAGUGACCCUAUUUUUAACCAGCAUUGAUCUGCUGAAGGCCUCCUCUGCACACAUUUUAACUCAAAGUCAUUAAUGUCAUCUGUUAGGAACAAUUAAUGUGAAUAGAAAAUAAUUGCAUCAGGGAACUGGGGACUCAGAGGAUUUUGUGCAUUAAUAUUCACAUGCUGUUCGAUUAUAUACACAGUUUUUCUAAUUUUUGCUUGGAAGGAUGGCUAAGCUGGUGCCUUUCCCUCCAUGUUCACCUGUACACUAAUUCUAGGGCUUUCAGCCUGCAUUAAGCCUGGUUUGGUUUAAUUGCAGUUUCAAUAAAAUCCAUGAUUUAUGUGAAUGCCUCAGCCAAUGACUUCGAAAGAAAAAAUAUCUGCAGUCUUGUUAGUCCUGGGCCAGCACACCAUGUAACAGGCAGUAUGGAUCUGACUCAGGCUCCAUUGAAAUCAAUGCAAAUGGACUAAAAAAAUAAAACCCAAGAAACAAGGACUUUGGAUCAGGCACUUUUCACUUUCCCAUUAAUUCUCUAGGCUUGCAGCCUAAGAGACCACAUCUACUCCCCUCAGCUUGGAGGAACAAAUGGUGCAGACCCUGGCAGGUGCUUUGCCAGCAAAAUCUGUGGGAUGCAAACCACAGAGAUUUGUUCAGGCUGUGUGAGUGCCCCAUCACCCUGUCCGUCCCAAAACACUGGCCAAAGUGGGAAAAAGAAUCUGUAGCCAGAAGAGCCUUCCCACAGUGUGGUAGUAGCUCUCUGCAGGGCCCUGAAAUGCAAGUCACACAGUAUCUUACACCCAGCUGCUCCCCAGCCUGCUCUCUGGGUACCCACUGCAGAAAUUAAUCUGCCAGAGAACAAAGCAGGCAGCUAUUCCUACAGCCUCUGUUAUCUGCAUGCUCUGCUUCAGGCUUCUAUUCCAGACAAUCUAGGAAAUUUUUUUUAAAACUUCCAAUUAUGAAUUUGGGAGUAAUUUCUCAAGAGUUACUUAUUCAUCCAGGUUUAUUAAAGAGGUACUGUCUGUUGCAGAGAGGUUAUGGAAAAUAUUUUCAAUGAUCAAUAUUCUGUAUAAAUAUGUGU